rnacentral:lncRNA from 1 species
CAUAAUUAUUGGUAUGAGUUCAUAAGGCAUCUUAAUAUUAUGCUUAUUGCCACUUUUAAUCUUGAGAAUAGAGCUACGUAUUGCAUAGAACAAAUCGUCUGGAGUAUUUGUCUUCUUUAAAAAGAUAGUCCAAUUGAUGUUAUUUAUGCUACAAUCAUUGUUAAGGCUUGGAUAAUGGAGAUGGUGUGCCGAUAUAGCCAUGUACAUUGUGCAAUGAUGGGGCGAUUGAGAGGAGCGGUCAUUACAUGUUUACGAAUUGCUAGGUAAUUUGAUUUGUUAGCCUUUUGCCCUGUUCAACAUUUUCCUUGUGCCUACCAUCCUAUAUAUUGAGUUUGUUUCCAUCAUUGUGACUCCAUGUAAAUGGAAGUACUUUGUCAUGGAUCAAUUUAAUAGAAAUAAAUUCAUAAUAAUGUGUUCACAUAUUUAAGAAAAUUCAUAUCAUUCUGUUCACCAAUGGAUG